UACGUAGGGUGCGAGCGUUGUCCGGAUUUAUUGGGCGUAAAGAGCGUGUAGGCGGCCACACAGGUCAGCUGUGAAAACUCGAGGCUCAACCUCGAGACGUCGGUUGAAACCGUAUGGCUAGAGUCCGGAAGAGGAGAGUGGAAUUCCCGGUGUAGCGGUGAAAUGCGUAGAUAUCAGGAGGAACACCUGCGGUGUAGACGGCUUUCUGGACCAUUGUUGACGCUGAGACACGAAAGCGUGGGUAGCAAACAGG
rnacentral:rRNA from 1 species